AACGAACGCUGGCGGCAUGCCUAACACAUGCAAGUCGAACGAGACCUUCGGGUCUAGUGGCGCAGGGGGGCGUAACGCGUGGGAACCUGCCCUUAGGUUCGGAAUAACUCCCUGAAAGGGGUGCUAAUACCGGAUAAUGUCUUCGGACCAAGGAUUUAUCGCCAUUGGAUGGGCCCGCGUUGGAUUAGCUAGUUGGUAGGGUAAAAGCCUACCAAGGCGACGAUCCAUAGCUGGUCUGAGAGGAUGAUCAGCCACACUGGGACUGAGACACGGCCCAGACUCCUACGGGAGGCAGCAGUAGGGAAUAUUAGACAAUGGGCGAAAGCCUGAUCCAGCAAUGCCGCGUGAGUGAUGAAGGCCUUAGGGUUGUAAAGCUCUUUUACCCGGGAUGAUAAUGACAGUACCGGGAGAAUAAGCUCCGGCUAACUCCGUG
rnacentral:rRNA from 1 species